UGUACACACCGCCCGUCACACCAUGGAAGUUGGUCACGCCCGAAGUCGUUACCCCAACCGCAAGGGGGGGGAUGCCUAAGGUAGGACUGAUGACUGGGGUGAAGUCGUAACAAGGUAGCCGUACCGGAAGGUGUGGCUGGAUCACCUCCUUUUAGGGAGACCUAAUCCAUUUAGAAAUUUCCAGCAAUUUUCAUUGCUAGAAACUAAAUUGGUCUAACCUAGGUCGGUCGAGAUUGGUAGAUAUCUUUCAAAGUAUUAUUCGGCUUAGUUCAAAACUUGAAGCAUCAUAAAUGGAAAAAAGACAGCACCUAACAAUAAAAGUUAGACUGCUGGGUGAAAUUCCAGCCAGAACCUUGAAAACUGCAUAAGAGAACGAGAAAAAGCAGGCAGACACAGACAUGAGAGUGUUUCGUGAAAGCAAAGAAAAAUUGUGGUCAAGCUAAUAAGGGCUAAUGGUGGAUACCUAGGCACACAGAG
rnacentral:misc_RNA from 1 species